GUGAACCAGUUUGAGCCAGUUUGCAGUGUGUCCAGCAGUGAGAGGUCCUCGCGGAGAGUCCAAAACAACAGCGGAUAAUUUAGAAAUAGUGCAGGUGGACUUAACUUGAUCGAUAACGAAAGAAUAUAUUUGAAACAUGGACAGAAUAAAAGACCCGUUUGGGAUGGACCGUAACAGAAAUCUGCAGUUUAAAAGAAGUUGAAGAUGAUUAUUGGGGACUUUGAGGACUGGCUUCUAACAUCAGCACCUUUCACCUCUGUCUCAUUCCCCAAAUACCCCAAAGUUCAAUCCCAGGACCUCUUUUAGCCAGAGUCCUGUGCUACAUUGUAUCUGACAUCAACAGUCACAUCAACAGUCAUGGGUGGCAAUGAAGGAGGAGGACGUGGAUCGGAUCGAUGGAGCCUUUUUGGGAUGCGUCCCGUCGUGCAGAAAUCCCCCACGGACCCGGGGUCUGACUCCAGCAAUCCUGGGGGAUUCAGUCUGCAGUCGUAUUUCGGAGUUCAGAAGUCAACAACUCUGGAUGGCAUCAAGACCCAAGUAAACCUUGUGGUUGAAGAUCCAGCCAACUUGAAGUCUGCCAAGGUGGAUGUAGCAGCUGUGGAGGGGAAAAAACCAGCCCCCCACAAACUCAAACACCGAGAUAUGAACAUUCUCACCCCAUCAGGCUUCUGACGUCUACAGCCACCUUCUCCUGCCCUCAGGUCACCUGAAAAUGUCCACAUAAUCCACACACUUGCUCUGAAACCCUAUUUAGUUCUUUUUCCCCACCAAGCAUGCGUAAGGGUCAUAUUAACAGCAUUCAGAGAGGCACACAAAAUUGACAUCCAUUUGCGUACAAGUAUAUUGUACACACACACCUGUGUAUGCCCUGUUCAUUGACCACUUUGUGGUGCCAAACAUCACUGUUCAAAUUAAAAUGGAUAGAAACAUACUUGAGACAAAUUUCACAACAUUUAGCCCAGAUGUAAUUCUCAGUGCUUUAUUUUUUGAAGUUGAUUGUUGUGACUUUGAAUUGAGUGGUUAUAGUGACAUUCCUUCCAUAACAGAAGAUGUUAAGAUAUAGACUAUGGCUUUGGUAGGUAAAGCUGAUUUUCAAACCUGUGGAAAAAUAACAACUGCCACUUCUGAAUGUGAUGAAAAUGUUAUUGUGCCACUCAAGACAGACCACUUUGAGCAAGGUAUUUCAAUGGUGCACCAGAAACUUGAUUCAACAGUAGGCUUCCAACGAUACGAGGGAUAGUUCUGUUUGAAUAGUGAUUCUAUUCAAAUCCAAACACUUGUUGCAGCUUUGAUAAUCUUAAUUAUCAGCAAGGUGAGACUUUUAAGGACAUUAUUGCUGAUUAUCGGCUUGUCUUGUGGAUUGAAGUAAUGAAGUCUUUCUGCCCUUGAACACUUGAAACUUGCUAAGGUUUCCCUCGUAUUGUUUUUUGUGGCGAUACUGCUGGAACAGGUUUUUUGCCAUUUAAGUGCUAGUUUUGUGAUGUGUGUAACGAUAGCAUUACUACAUUCAUUUACGUUUUGCUCUGUCCUAACAGGAUCUUUUUUUCGGUUUAAGAAUGCAUGAGAUUGAGGUGUUUGUGUCCCAUAGUCCCCCAGUCCAUAAGCAAUAUCAUUGCACAGUAUGUAUCGACAUGGUUAAAGCACUACAUUGCUGUCACUACCUUUUGCACCAUUUAUGCCAACUCCAUUUUUAGCCACUUGUACUUUUCAUGCUCCCUACACAAUUUUAUAGACACUCCAUUGAUCACUGUUUGUUUGCAGUUGCAAAUCUUUCAUAAUCCCUGUGUAACUCUUGCAGAUAGUUUGAUGAUGCCCCAUUAGACUUUUUUGUAGUGGUGAAUUUUAUCAUUCAUUAUCCUUUGAUAUAAUUUUAAUACUAGUGAUGUCACUUUUGCAUUCCAGUUUGUACAUUAACACAUUUCAUGUAUUGUACUGUACAUAUUUUUUUUCUGCUGUGCAGCUGCUCAAUUUGAGUAUGAUGCUUAAAAUAAAGUUUUAUUUGCAGUAAAAGCA